rnacentral:sRNA from 1 species
CGCCGCCGCCCUUUUUGGGCGUUUCCUCCCAAUUGACUUCAGCCGCAGGGUUUUCCCUGCGGCUUUUUUUUCGCAAAC